rnacentral:rRNA from 1 species
UAGGGAAUCUUCGGCAAUGGACGAAAGUCUGACCGAGCAACGCCGCGUGAGUGAAGAAGGUUUUCGGAUCGUAAAACUCUGUUGUUAGAGAAGAACAAGGACGUUAGUAACUGAACGUCCCCUGACGGUAUCUAACCAGAAAGCCACGGCUAACUACGUGCCAGCAGCCGCGGUAAUACGUAGGUGACAAGCGUUGUCCGGAUUUAUUGGGCGUAAAGCGAGCGCAGGCGGUUUCUUAAGUCUGAUGUGAAAGCCCCCGGCUCAACCGGGGAGGGUCCUUGGAAACUGGGAGACUUGAGUGCAGAAGAGGAGAGUGGAAUUCCAUGUGUAGCGGUGAAAUGCGUAGAUAUAUGGAGGAACACCAGUGGCGAAGGCGGCUCUCUGGUCUGUAACUGACGCUGAGGCUCGAAAGCGUGGGGAGCAAACAGG